rnacentral:rRNA from 1 species
AUUGAACGCUGGCGGCAGACCUAACACAUGCAAGUCGGGCGAGCGGCGGACGGGUGAGUAAUGUAUGGGGACUGCCUGAUGGAGGGGGAUAACUACUGGAAACGGUAGCUAAUACCGCAUACCAUCAGAUGACCCCUAUGGGAUUAGCUAGUAGGUGAGGUAACGGAUCACCUAGGCGACGAUCCCUAGCUGGUCUGAGAGGAUGAUCAUCCACUGUGUGACAUAGACUCGUCCCGUAUUCCUUCGGAGGUAGGAGGGGGUAAUAUUGUACAAUGGGCGCUAGCGUGAUCGAGCCAUGCCGCGUGUAUGAAGAUGGCCUUAAGGUUGUAAAGUACUUUCAGUCGGGAGGCGUUGCCGACAGUAGAAGCACCGGCUAAAUACGUGCCAGCAGCCGCGGUAAUAC